rnacentral:lncRNA from 1 species
UUCACGUUCGCGAAAAGACGCCAUGUUUUUGUUGCUCGCCUCGGCUGAAAAUAUGCUAAACUAAGUUUGCAAUACGCGAAAAACUCGAUCGUAUUUUAUAAAAAAAAAUAGUGUAAGAGGAGAUAUUUUUCGAUCGGGAAUUUGCUCUGUUGUUGGAUUACGAAGUUAAUGCAGACGACCUUUGCCCCGAGACGCAAAGAGGUCAUCACUGAAAACCUACCUGUUUGUGAGAUCCUGGAACGCUGGCCUGCCUUUAAAAUGGAGUCACAGAUCUGUUCUGAGUUUCACAAAAUUACAAAUGUCAACCUGAAGAACCACUUCUAUGCCGUGUUGGACCAGCAUGCUCCCCGUCUUCAGAGCUUGUUCAGAAAGAAAGCUGCUCGCACAGGAAAAGUGUCUGAAGUGUCAGCUCUUCGGGAUAUAUGACCUCCAGGAAAAAGUUGACGUCCAUGUACGACGAGCUGCCAUCCUCCGUGCUCUCCCUGCCUAUCUGCAAGAGGAUGACUCCAACUUUUUCAAGACAUGGGAUGUAGAGCAAUCUGAUGAACCUGACAUUGAUGAUGUACCACUUGGUCUCCUCUCCAUUAGUGGCAAUUCAACAGAUGCCACAUUCUUCUGCCCAGAGAAGAUUGCAGUUGUACUUAAGGGUAACAUGGUUACCGAUUUCCCCACAUUGGCUGAUGCAUUUGUCAUGCUUUUUGGACUAACUUAUGCCUUGGAUCUAAGUUACCCAAAAGAGUUUGCCAACACAUUUGACUUUACCCAGAAAGUCUUGAUGGGUCUGGAGGAUGGAAAGCUGAGGCCCAGAGCUUUUGGCAGUGGAGUUACCACAGUGUUUGAACAAAGCUUACAAAG